rnacentral:rRNA from 1 species
GAAGCAGCCAUCAUUUAAAGAAAGCGUAAUAGCUCACUGGUCGAGUCGGCCUGCGCGGAAGAUGUAACGGGGCUAAACCAUGCACCGAAGCUGCGGCAGCGACGCUUAUGCGUUGUUGGGUAGGGGAGCGUUCUGUAAGCCUGCGAAGGUGGCCUGUGAGGGUUGCUGGAGGUAUCAGAAGUGCGAAUGCUGACAUAAGUAACGAUAAAGCGGG